GAUGAACGCUCGCUGUGUGCCUAAUACAUGCAUGUUGAACGGGAUGUAGCAAUACAUUCAGUAGCGAAUGGGUGAGUAACACGUACCUAACCUACCUUUAAGACUGGGAUAACUAUUGGAAACAAUAGCUAAUACCGGAUAUAGUUAUUUAUCGCAUGAUGAGUAAUAGAAAGGAGCUUCACAGCUUCACUUAAAAAUGGGGGUGCGGAACAUUAGUUAGUUGGUAGGGUGAUGGCCUACCAAGACGAUGAUGUUUAGCCGGGCCGAGAGGCUGUACGGCCACACUGGGACUGAGAUACGGCCCAGACUCCUACGGGAGGCAGCAGUAAGGAAUUUUCCACAAUGAGCGAAAGCUUGAUGGAGCGACACAGCGUGCAGGAUGAAGUUCUUCGGAAUGUGAACUGCUGUUAUAAGGGAAGAAAAAAUAGAAUAGGAAAUGAUUUUAUCUUGACGGUACCUUAUUAGAAAGCGACGGCAAACUAUGUGCCAGCAGCUGCGGUAAUACAUAGGUCGCAAGCGUUAUCCGGAAUUAUUGGGCGUAAAGCGUCCGUAGGUUUUUUGCUAAGUCUGGAGUUAAAUGCUGGAGCUCAACUUCAGUCCGCUUUGGAUACUGGCAAAAUAGAAUUAUAAAGAGGUUAGCGGAAUUCCUAGUGAAGCGGUGGAAUGCGUAGAUAUUAGGAAGAACACCAAUAGGCGAAGGCAGCUAACUGGUUAUAUAUUGACACUAAGGGACGAAAGCGUGGGGAGCAAACAGG
rnacentral:rRNA from 1 species